rnacentral:lncRNA from 1 species
CCUGCCACUCAAGACAUUUUAUGAUUUUGCCCCUUCUUACCUGUAGAGGGUCAACUAUUAAUGCUUUUAUACAAUUCUUUCUUUUAGUAUCUGCAGAGCCUAAUGAAAUGAUUGGAAUAUAAUAGACCCAGUUUUUAUCAUCAUCUGUGGACUCCUUGCUGCCCUGACUCACCCACUGGACUGAACCUUCCCAGGCACUAACCAGUGUCGUUAAUUCACUUCCAUUUGCCACUGACUCUAUGAGUCAAGGAAACUUAUUUUAAACUAUCUACAGCCUUUAAUAAUUAAGUACUCCUGUGAUCAAAAUUUGGAGCACAUUUGUUUCUCUCUGCCUAGUUCCUCUAGAAUUUGUAAACUAUCUGUGGGUGGCCAUUCGUCUUCAGUGUGUACCCCUUCCAAAUGCAUCCUGAACUGCUGGGACUUCUUUGAAAAGCACCUUCUUUUCCCUGUCUCCUCCUCAGUCCUCUCUUCAGUUAGGCCAUCAAACUCCAAACAAUCAUGCAACCAGAGCCUCUAAUGAUGGCCCCUUCUGCCAGGAACCUUUAAAUUUCCUCUGAGGGAGCUCUGACUGUUGUUUCUCAACAACUGCACCCCCUGUCAGCAGGAAGCAGUUAAGAUCAUCUUCCUCCUUACCUUGAAUCUACCAGCGGUUACAUGUACUUCUUUAGAGGGGUGAAUGAGAGCCAGGUGGGAGGGGGUCCCUGGAGAAAUUCCAGUCAGUCUGCCCAUUGAGGUGGAGCCUUGGGAAGUUCAUGCCCUUUGCAGUGGGGAGGGGCCUGGCCCCACCUCUUCCUAUGUGGAACCCAGUAUUCAAAUAGCAGCAGGAAGCUCUCUAGCAGGGGACUCUGAAACAGGAGGAUGCCUGUCCCCCCUCCUCCUUUUUUUUCCCUUUUCACCCAAUAAAACC